rnacentral:lncRNA from 1 species
UCGCUAUCUCAUCUUUUUUCUAUUUUUUUUUUAAGUCAAGUAAUUCUCCAGUAACCAAGGGUUAUGAAAAGUCACCAAGAAAUUUUAUUUCUAGUACAAUUGCACUUAAUACCAGCACAAGUACCUGGAUCGUCCCUUUCAAAUUUUACCACCCGUUGAUCUCAAAGGAGUACUCGAUACUUUAUUUGCAGUAUUCUAUUUUUUUCUUUUUUUUAGAAAGGCAUAUACAUCCUAAAGCUCCCCUAAACUUAAGAUUUACAUACUCUAAGCUUAAAAGGGAAUAGUCAAAAUUCUACACUCGACUCAUAGAUAAAACUCAAGAAUUAAGUUAGCCUAAGUCUUGUCUCUAGAGCAUCAAAUAGUGUAAUUAAAUUUCCGCACAAGCAAUUUCUAAGCAUGCAAGACAUUAUAUAUGAUCAAGACUACUAGCCAAUAAAUUAUGCAAAUAAAUCAUCAAGAAAAAUUAACUUGGUAUUAUUUACUUUCAUGAAAUAUGCAAAUGCAACCUAAAAAGAAAUAAAAAAAACUACUAAAAAAUGCAAACAAAAUUAAUAACUACAUGCUCUAAUUUAAAUACAACUAACAUGAAUUUCCUAAUUUAAGACAUGGCAAUAUACAAUUUUUCUCUAAUUUUUUUUAUAAUAUAUAAUAUAAUUUUUUUGAUUUUUUAGUCAUUGAGAAACCAUCCCCACACUAAAGUGGUUCAUUGUCCUCAAUGAAUAAAUAUGACAUAGAUAUAUAAAUAUAUUAAUAAUAAUUAUUAAAAAGAAUACUCCCCUGGAAUGCUGUAGAAGUGUGAAGUAGUUCUGCACUUCCCAAAUAUUUCUGGAUGACUCCUUUAACAAGUGUAGAAGUUGUCUCAGUGGAUGGAAAGUGGCUCUUAAAGUCUUGGACAGUAGUGGUCUGGUGUUCAAUUCCCAGCGACAUCAUAAAUUUUUUAAACACAGUGGGCAGCUAAAUGGAUCUGAGAUCCGGCCCGGGAAUUUAUCGCAGCAGGCUGGGCUCGUUGCUUUGAAAAUUCGGAUGGGCCUGGACGCUGGACUUGGGCCUUGCAUAAUGGAUGACCUUGAAGCUGGUAAACGCUUGCUCCUGCAUUACAGGAGUACAUAAAGCUGGAUUGAUGUGAAGUCCAUGGAUUGGGCUGCUUGUAGGAGUUGGACCUGGAUUUUGUCUACUGGGCUGAAAGAUGGGCUUGAGUCCAGCCACGGAAUAAAGAAUUAAGCGCGCGAGCGGGAGACGGGAGUAGAAUGUGAGCGCUGAGUCAGUAGGUAAUGCACCGCCAGCAGAAAAUUGCACCGCGAGCAGAAAAUGUAGAAUGGCCCCAGAAGGUUUCGCACUGCAAGGAGAGAAUCUGCACGCCAGUGCACAAUUUACUGGUUGUCUUGUGCACAGCAACGAAUAGGA